rnacentral:rRNA from 1 species
AGUGAACGCUGGCGGUAGGCCUAACACAUGCAAGUCGAACGGCAGCACAGUAAGAGCUUGCUCUUACGGGUGGCGAGUGGCGGACGGGUGAGGAAUACAUCGGAAUCUACUUUUUCGUGGGGGAUAACGUAGGGAAACUUACGCUAAUACCGCAUACGACCUACGGGUGAAAGCAGGGGAUCUUCGGACCUUGCGCGAUUGAAUGAGCCGAUGUCGGAUUAGCUAGUUGGCGGGGUAAAGGCCCACCAAGGCGACGAUCCGUAGCUGGUCUGAGAGGAUGAUCAGCCACACUGGAACUGAGACACGGUCCAGACUCCUAAGGGAGGCAGCAGUGGGGAAUAUUGGACAAUGGGCGCAAGCCUGAUCCAGCCAUACCGGGUGGGUGAAGAAGGCCUUCGGGUUGUAAAGCCCUUUUGUUGGGAAAGAAAAGCAGCAGGUUAAUACCCCGCUGUUCUGACGGUACCCAAAGAAUAAGCACCGGCUAACUUCGUG